rnacentral:rRNA from 1 species
UACGGGGGGAGCAAGCGUUGUUCGGAUCUACUGGGCGUAAAGGGCGCGUAGGCGGUCAGCACAAGUCAGUUGUGAAAUCUCCGGGCUUAACCCGGAGCGGCCAAGUGAUACUGUCGUGCUAGAGUGCGGAAGGGGCUACUGGAAUUCUCGGUGUAGCGGUGAAAUGCGUAGAUAUCGAGAGGAACACCUGCGGCGAAGGCGGGUAGCUGGGCCGACACUGACGCUGAUGCGCGAAAGCCAGGGGAGCGAACGGG